rnacentral:rRNA from 1 species
AGUGAACGCUGGCGGUAGGCCUAACACAUGCAAGUCGAACGGCAGCACAGUAAGAGCUUGCUCUUACGGGUGGCGAGUGGCGGACGGGUGAGGAAUACAUCGGAAUCUACUUUUUCGUGGGGGAUAACGUAGGGAAACUUACGCUAAUACCGCAUACGACCUACGGGUGAAAGCAGGGGAUCUUCGGACCUUGCGCGAUUGAAUGAGCCGAUGUCGGAUUAGCUAGUUGGCGGGGUAAAGGCCCACCAAGGCGACGAUCCGUAGCUGGUCUGAGAGGAUGAUCAGCCACACUGGAACUGAGACACGGUCCAGACUCAUACGGGAGGCAGCAGUGGGGAUUAGUGGACAAUGGGCGCAAGCCUGAUCCAGCCAUACCGCGUAGAUGAAGAAGGCCUUCGGGUUGUAAAGCCCUUUUGUUGGGAAAGAAAUCCAGCCGGCUAAUACCUGGUUGGGAUGACGGUACCCAAAGAAUAAGCACCGGCUAACUUCGUG